UUACCAUAAUACAGUACAACCACAGUAAAAGAAACUCAAUGGCUGCAGUAACCAUGACUGUAAUAAUGUAGCACAAUCAAUCGUCACUUAAUUGGUGAAUAGUAUGAAUGGCUGUACGAAGAUCUCACUGUCUCAUAGUAUAAUAAUAAAAAAUUAAAAUAACAGUCAAGAUGCUGUUUAAAAUUGUAAGACGAGAAGACCCUAUAAAGCUUAACUAUUGAUCUUUAAUUAAUUUUAUUAUAAUUAAUUGAAGAAAAGGUAGUUUCAUUGGGGCGAUGGUUUUUAAAACAAAACAAAAACAAACAAAACAAUUAAAGCAAUUUACUGUAUAAUCCAUAAAUUUAACAGUUACAAAGUAGGUUAAAACGACCCAUUGACCCAAAAAAUAAGGUUAAUGAUUAAUAAAUAAAAGCUACUUUAGGGAUAACAGGAUAAUUUUAUUAAAAAGUCCACAUUAAAAAUAAAGUUUAUUACCUCGAUGUUGAAUUGAGAUACCCCAGAGAUGCAAAAGUCUCUAAAGGUUGGUCUGUUCGACCAUUAAAAUCUUACAUGAUUUGAG
rnacentral:rRNA from 1 species